UACGAAGGGUGCAAGCGUUACUCGGAAUUACUGGGCGUAAAGCGUGCGUAGGUGGUUCGUUAAGUCUGAUGUGAAAGCCCUGGGCUCAACCUGGGAAUGGCAUUGGAUGCUGGCGACCUAGAGUGCGGUAGAGGGGUGUGGAAUUCCCGGUGUAGCAGUGAAAUGCGUAGAUAUCGGGAGGAACAUCUGUGGCGAAGGCGACACCCUGGACCAGCACUGACACUGAGGCACGAAAGCGUGGGGAGCAAACAGG
rnacentral:rRNA from 1 species